rnacentral:rRNA from 1 species
UACGUAGGGUGCAAGCGUUAUCCGGAAUUAUUGGGCGUAAAGAGCUCGUAGGCGGUUUGUCGCGUCUGCUGUGAAAACCUAGGGCUUAACCCUGGGCUUGCAGUGGAUACGGGCAGACUAGAGGUAGGUAGGGGAGAAUGGAAUUCCUGGUGUAGCGGUGAAAUGCGCAGAUAUCAGGAGGAACACCGAUGGCGAAGGCAGGUCUCUGGGCCACUACUGACGCUGAGAAGCGAAAGCAUGGGGAGCGAACAGG